UGACUGACUGAGGCUACCUUGUUACGACUUCACCCCAGUUAUCAGCCCCGCCUUCGGCAGCUCCCUCCUUGCGGUUGGGUCACUGACUUCGGGCGUUGCCAACUCCCAUGGUGUGACGGGCGGUGUGUACAAGACCCGGGAACGUAUUCACCGCGGCAUUCUGAUCCGCGAUUACUAGCGAUUCCGGCUUCAUGCAGUCGAGUUGCAGACUGCAAUCCGAACUGGGACGUUAUUUUUGGGAUUUGCUUAAGGUCACCCUCUCGCUUCCCUUUGUUUACGCCAUUGUAGCACGUGUGUAGCCCAAGUCAUAAGGGGCAUGAUGAUUUGACGUCAUCCCCACCUUCCUCCAGGUUCUCCCUGGCAGUCCCCCUAGAGUGCCCGGCCUAACCGCUGGCUACUAAGGGUAAGGGUGCGCUCGUUGCGGGACUUAACCAACAUCUCACGACACGAGCUGACGA
rnacentral:rRNA from 1 species